rnacentral:rRNA from 1 species
GACGAACGCUGGCGGCGUGCCUAAUACAUGCAAGUCGAACGGAAAGACGCUGCUUUUGCUGCGCUCUCGUUUGGCGCACACGUGAGAGUCACGCGUGUAAACCGCACUUAUCUGUCUGGUAUCACCUCGGAAAACCGGAUCAUAUACCGUAUAAUAUCUUGAACCACAUGGGUCAUUGGAAAGUUUCGGUUGUUCUGUAUGUACUCGAUGGUUCCGCGCUGCAUUAGCUAGUUGUUACGGUAACGGCUUACCACGGCUACGAUGCGUAGGCGAGUGGAGAGGGUGAUCGGCCACACUGGAACUGAGACACGGUCCAGACUCCUACGGGAGGCAGCAGUAGGGAAUCUUCCGCAAUGGGCGAAAGCCUGACGGAGCAACGCCGCGUGAGUGAUGAAGGUCUUCGGAUCGUAAAACUCUGUUAUUAGGGAAGAACAAAUGUGUAAGUAACUAUGCACGUCUUGACGGUACCUAAUCAGAAAGCCACGGCUAACUACGUG